UGGCGGCGUGCCUAACACAUGCAAGUCGAGCGAGAAAAGGGUAGCAAUACCUGAGUACAGCGGCGCACGGGUGAGUAACACGUGGGUAAUCUGCCCUGGAGUGGGGAAUAACACCGGGAAACCGGUGCUAAUACCGCAUACGAUCACGAUGUCUGCGGAUGUUGUGAUGAAAGGAGCAAUUCGCUCCAGGAGGAGCCCGCGGCUGAUUAGCUAGUUGGUGAGGUAAUGGCUCACCAAGGCUACGAUCAGUAUCCGGUCUGAGAGGACGGUCGGACACACUGGAACUGAGACACGGUCCAGACUCCUACGGGAGGCAGCAGUGGGGAAUUUUUGGCAAUGGGGGAAACCCUGACCAAGCAACGCCGCGUGGGUGAUGAAGUCUCUUGGGACGUAAAACCCUUUCGACGGGGAAGAAACCGCAAGGUUGACGGUACCCGUAGAAGAACCCCGGCUAACUCCGUGCCAGCAGCCGCGGUAAUACGGGGGGGGCAAGCGUUGUUCGGAAUUACUGGGCGAUAAAGGGUGCGUAAGCGGUGCUCUAA
rnacentral:rRNA from 1 species